rnacentral:rRNA from 1 species
AACGAACGCUGGCGGCAGGCCUAACACAUGCAAGUCGAGCGCUCCGCAAGGAGAGCGGCGCACGGGAGAAUAACGCGUGGGAACCUACCUUUUGGUUCGGAAUAACAUCGGGAAACUGGUGCUAAUACCGGAUAAGCCCUUCGGGGGAAAGAUUUAUUGCCAAAAGAUGGGCCCGCGUUGGAUUAGCUAGUUGGUGAGGUAAUGGCUCACCAAGGCUACGAUCCAUAGCUGGUCUGAGAGGAUGAUCAGCCUCACUGGGACUGAGACACGGCCCAGACUCCUACGGGAGGCAGCAGUGGGGAAUAUUGGACAAUGGGGGCAACCCUGAUCCAGCCAUGCCGCGUGAGUGAUGAAGGCCUUCGGGUUGUAAAGCUCUUUUGACAGGGACGAUGAUGACGGUACCUGUAGAAUAAGCUCCGGCUAACUUCGUGCCAGCCGCCGCAGUAA